rnacentral:lncRNA from 1 species
AUGUACAAUGUGGACCCAGAAGAUAUCACUUCGACGUAUCAAUUAAAACGCUUGUUUCCAAAGUGGUCCUCGAUGGUAAAAACAACACCACAUAUAAUGAUUAAAGGUCCCCAAAGCGCUCGUCUUUUCAGUUCGCUGCAGCUAGCGACUGGAACGAGCUGUGGUGUGGUGUCAUGUGGUGUUGCUACCAUGCUGUGUUGUCAUGUUGUGUUGCUACCAUGCUGUGUUGUCAUGUUGUGUUGCUACCAUGCUGUGUUGUCAUGUUGUGUUGCUACCAUGCUGUGUUGUCAUGUUGUGUUGCUACCAUGUUGUGUUGUCAUGUGGUGUUGCUACCAUGCUGUGUUGUCAUGUUGUGUUGCUACCAUGCUGUGUUGUCAUGUGGUGUUGCUACCAUGUUGUGUUGUCAUGUGGUGUUGCUACCAUGCUGUGUUGUCAUGUUGUGUUGCUACCAUGUUGUGUUGUCAUGUGGUGUUGCUACCAUGUUGUGUUGUCAUGUUGUGUUGUUACCAUGUUGUGUUGUCAUGUGGUGUUGCUACCAUGCUGUGUUGUCAUGUGGUGUUGCUACCAUGUUGUGUUGUCAUGUUGUGUUGCUAUCAUGUUGUGUUGUCAUGUGGUGUUGCUGCCAUGCUGUGUUGUUGUCUUAGGUCUCUCUAUGUUGUGUUGUCAUGUGGUGUUGCUACCAUGUUGUGUUGUCAUGUGGUGUUGCUACCAUGUUGUGUUGUCAUGUGGUGUUGCUACCAUGUUGUGUUGUCAUGUGGUGUUGCUACCAUGCUGUGUUGUCAUGUUGUGUUGCUACCAUGUUGCGUUGUCAUGUGGUGUUGCUACCAUGUUGCGUUGUCAUGUGGUGUUGCUACCAUGUUGUGUUGUCAUGUUGUGUUGCUACCAUGUUGUGUUGUCAUGUUGUGUUGCUACCAUGUUGUGUUGUCAUGUGGUGUUGCUGCCAUGCUGUGUUGUUGUCUUAGGUCUCUCUAUGUUGUGUUGUCAUGUGGUGUUGCUACCAUGUUGUGUUGUCAUGUGGUGUUGCUACCAUGUUGUGUUGUCAUGUGGUGUUGCUACCAUGCUGUGUUGUUAUGUGUUGCUGUCAUGCUGUGUUGCUACCAUGCUGUGUUGUCAUGUGUUGCUACCAUGCUGUGUUGUUAUGUGUUGCUACCAUGCUGUGUUGGUAUGUGUUGCUACCAUGCUGUGUUGUUAUGUGUUGCUACCAUGCUGUGUUGUUAUGUGUUGCUGCCAUGCUAUGUUGUUGUUGUCUUAGGUCUCUCUUUAUGUUGUGUUGUCUCCCUUUUUUUAAUGUGUAAUCCCAGGCCCCUGUCAUCACAGGAGUCCUUCUUGCCUUUUGGUAGGCCGUCAUUGUAA